CCUACGGGAGGCAGCAGUGAGGAAUAUUGGUCAAUGGACGAGAGUCUGAACCAGCCAAGUAGCGUGAAGGAUGACUGCCCUAUGGGUUGUAAACUUCUUUUAUAUGGGAAUAAAAUGUUCCACGUGUGGGAUUUUGUAUGUACCAUAUGAAUAAGGAUCGGCUAACUCCGUGCCAGCAGCCGCGGUAAUACGGAGGAUCCGAGCGUUAUCCGGAUUUAUUGGGUUUAAAGGGAGCGUAGGUGGAUUGUUAAGUCAGUUGUGAAAGUUUGCGGCUCAACCGUAAAAUUGCAGUUGAAACUGGCAGUCUUGAGUACAGUAGAGGUGGGCGGAAUUCGUGGUGUAGCGGUGAAAUGCUUAGAGAUCACGAAGAACUCCGAUUGCGAAGGCAGUUCACUGGACUGCAACUGACACUGGGGCUCGAAAGUGUGGGUAUCAAACAGGAUUAGAUACCCCUGUAGUC
rnacentral:rRNA from 1 species